CUUUCCGACUUCCGCCUCACGGGUUCUGGGCGAAACAAUGAAGACAAAAUAAAGCAAAAUUGAGCGACAGCGGUUUCUUUUCUUUCUGUGUGCCCGGACAUACAAAACUUCAAAAGAAACUCGAUCUCUCAAUGUACACUCCCGGUCUCAGCCGCGGACUGUGGAAAGGAACACACCUUUAAGCACGUGGGCUGAUUAGCCUACUUAAUGCAACCCAGGUGCUCUUUCCACCGGUCGUGUUGUCGAGACUCGAGACCAAUCCGCUUCUCCCUGAUUGAAUGCUACAGAUGACUUCUCUGUUUAGAAUGCCCGGGUAAUCUAUCUAUCUAUCUAUCAUGUAUAAUGCUUCCUGAUUUCAAUGAACGGUGCUUCAAAGACCUGACCGGUUACAUAUUGCUCUGCCUAUGUUGUUCCAUGCUUAAGGUAAGCAAAAUGGAGGCUGAGUGAACGUAACUGGAAUUGCAGAAGAAACAACCCAUUUCAGUCCUGUCGAUUGGUUGGAUCUUUGAGGGUAAAAACACCUUUGAAAAAUCAACUGAUGCCACCCUAAUGAAAAUGUAAAAAAACUGUAAAUUAAUUUUCUAAAUAUGUAUCACGGCAGUACAAUACAUUGAAUAUAGCUUAAAGGAGGAACAAUUUCUAUAUCUGUACACACGCAAUUUUUCAAUUAUAUAUUUACUCAAUACUGAAUUACAUUACAUUUCCUAACAUGCAGGAAUCUUGCCUAUUUUGAAGCUGAAGUAAUGAUGCUUGGUGUGUGGGAGCAUUGUGCUGCGUGUGGGGGGCACUGUGCUGCAGGGGGCGUACCUCUUGUCGCAGCAGCUGGUUGUCCAUCCUUAGCCUCUCCAGCGUGUUGAGCUCGUCCACCAGCCUGCCGUUGCUCUGCCGCAGCUCCUGGAUGUAGUCGCAGGCCUUGGACAGGAUGCCCCCUUUGCUCUGCGACACACAGCCCGCACACAGUCAGGCCGGGUCCCACACAUCCAGAGGCCUCCCCCCCCAAACCUGAGCACCCCUGCCCUCAUUUCAGUCCUGCACACAGUCAGGCUGGGUCCCACACUCUGCUCAUCCAGAGGCCUUUCCCCACCCCGUGUCCCAUGUCAUUUCGCUCAACAGACACAACAUUUUUGUGCAGUAGCACAUAGGUGGCCUGCAGUCAACUAUGGCCAGCUUUGAGGCUGGUGAGCAAACGAUCUACGCCAACCCCCUGGUCCCGAAGAACAAGUAUGAGGCGAAGAUAUCGCAAGGGACAAGCAAAAUGGUUAGCAGACAAACACAUUGAUGAUGGGGAAAUACUCUACGCAAAUGCACCAUGGUCCAAACCAACAGUAUUAAGGGGACAGACACAUAUAUACAUACAGAUUGUAAUGUAUUGUGACUUCCCCCCACCUGCCCCGUCUUGGUGGAGUCCAUGGUGCAGUCCGGAAUGGUCUUGGACAGCUGGACGAUCCAGUUAUUUAUCUUGUCUCGCCGCCUGCGUUCAACUGUGGUACACCAAUAACGGGUUAUUUAUGGGGGUGUGGAGGGGGGUGGUAUAUCAACCAAUGCAUCAGUUGUUUUCAAUGUACUUCAACAGGGUUUGGGUUCAGGAUGGAUUCUAGAAUACUCAAGCAUAGUGUUAAAUAUGUUAUUGACUUAGGAAUGUCAUCCAAGUGUAGUGCCUACGAAUCUUAUAAAUAAAAUCACACAUCUGUAGAAUUUCAUUCAACUGUGGUACAAUAGAGGACUUUGAAUACAUCUUAAAUAAAUCCCAAAUACAUGUGUUUUGAAAUCUUUCUGUGGCACAGUAAAGUGUAAAACUUCAGAGGGGGUGAAUACUUUUGCAAUCCACUGUACAUGGACACUUCCUCACCUUCAUUGUGCUGGGCCCGCCUUUUGUCAUCUCGAGAGGUCCGUGGGGUAUCC